CAAAACUGGAAAGUCUAACAAAGCGAACAUGGCAACUCUGGCGCUCAGUCUCACGUCAUAUAUAGUCGAGCCCAGCCACGACUCCUGCUAAGGGAAGAAAAUCACUAUAGCCUCUUCAGGAUUUUAGUGAUGUUCAAGAUGCCAGCGACGCACGUGAUCGUGAUCCUUCUGAUGGGGAUGUUAACACUGGUCGCUGUGGCAGACUCCCUCGUGCUGUGCCCACAGUUUCCAUCCUGCUGCUACCCUCGAGACCGCUGUCACGCACUCUGUCCCUCCUGCAGGGAAGCGAGGUUUUUCCGGAACGGCGUUCGCCUCUUUCCCAAGAACCCCAGAGGUUGCUCGAUCGGAGGAACCUUCAUCAAUCCCGACCCUUUUGCUUUUCCCGAUUCUCCCAUAUUUCCCAGUCCUCCUAUAUGCAUAUGAGAGUCUGGCUCUGAAUUCUUACUUAGUCUAGUCAAUAACUUGUAAUAUCUAUUUCAAAUGACCCACAUUCCUCCCUCCCUCAAAGAUUUAUGAAUGCAUUGAUUGUUCAACUGCUCUUUCGGUCAAAGGCGACUGAGAUGGAAAGGAGCACAUGCAAGGGAAGUCCCUUUGUAGACUUUAAAGACAGCCCAUCGGGGAUUGCUUUAAAGCUUGCAAUGGAAUAUUUUUACAUUUUCAGAUAAUCCUGAAUUAGCCACUGUUAUUUCAGCAAGAUAAUUUGUUGAAUAAAGAACAUUCAACGAUAAA
rnacentral:lncRNA from 1 species